rnacentral:rRNA from 1 species
GACGAACGCUGGCGGCGUGCUUAACACAUGCAAGUCGAACGGAAAGGCCCUGCUUUUGUGGGGUGCUCGAGUGGCGAACGGGUGAGUAACACGUGAGUAACCUGCCCUUGACUUUGGGAUAACUUCAGGAAACUGGGGCUAAUACCGGAUAGGAGCUCCUGCUGCAUGGUGGGGGUUGGACAGUUUCGGCGGUUGGGGAUGGACUCGCGGCUUAUCAGCUUGUUGGUGGGGUAGUGGCUUACCAAGGCUUUGACGGGUAGCCGGCCUGAGAGGGUGACCGGCCACAUUGGGACUGAGAUACGGCCCAGACUCCUACGGGAGGCAGCAGUGGGGAAUAGUGCACAAUGGGCGGAAGCCUGAUGCAGCAACGCCGCGUGCGGGAUGACGGCCUUCGGGUUGUAAACCGCUUUCGCCUGUGACGAAGCGUGAGUGACGGUAAUGGGUAAAGAAGCACCGGCUAACUACGUG